UAUGUUGUUAUCUAAAUAUUGAUUUGGUAGGAAAUCUAAAGUCUGACUACUAUAUUCUUAUAAGUAUAGAUUUCUUUAUGCUCAUAAGUUUUCGGCCGUUAGAUCUAUUCCUUUGACCAUUUUCAUCUGUUAGAUCGUACUAUUCAACCAACCACCUACUCAACCGUAGGGGACCACUAUCAUCCUAACCGCACAUCUUUUCAUCCAAUGGUCGAAAACUUAUGAGUACAAAGAGCUUAUACUCAUAAGAGUAUAGUAGCCAUAGCCGAAAAUCUAUAUCUAUAUUUAUUCAUUAUUCUUCUUAAAUUUGCCACAUGGCAACGUCUCUUCAUUAUUGGGUGUGAGCUCCACCCCAAAUCAGCUCAAGUGCUUCACAUAUUUUUUUUCUUUUUUUACUUGAAUUAAAUCGAAUUUUUCUCUUUUUUGCUUGAAUCGAACCAAUAAUUAUCGAGUGUGGAUUCUCCCGAAUAUGUUCAAAUCCUCCACAUAUCUUUGUUUGAAGCAAACCGGAUUUUUCUCUUUUUUUUUUAUUUAAAUCGAAUCGGGUCAUACCUUUGCAUUGGGCCGAACUGUUUCUUUUUCACUUCCUUCGGCUGUUACAUUCUUCAAUAUGCAAGAUGAAUCCACUCCUUAUUAUCGUUUUUUUUUUCCCAUUGUUAUUUCAUCUUUCUUUGUCGUCAUUUUUUAUUUUUCUUCUCUAAUUAUCUAUCGGCCGCAUCGCAUGUAUUACUACAUACACUAAUUAAUAUUCAAAAUUUGUCUUAAUUAAUUAAGAGCAUUCACUCAUGUGCCU
rnacentral:lncRNA from 1 species